AACCUCAUUGCUUGUCUAUUUUCUUUCUAAUCUGCAAAGAAAUGAAGUCCCAUAAAAAUAAAAUAAAUUAUUACUAGUAGAAAACAAAACAACAAAACUCUCUAAGGCCAGUCCAAAUAGAACCCCUACAGCCUCAAAAUAGAAAAAUCUUAUACUCAGAUUCACCCAUCCGUGCAAAGUGAAAAUAAAAUAAAAUAUAGCAAAAAAAAAAAAAA
rnacentral:misc_RNA from 1 species